rnacentral:rRNA from 1 species
UACGGAGGAUGCAAGCGUUAUCCGGAAUGAUUGGGCGUAAAGCGUCCGCAGGUGGCGAUGUAAGUCUGCUGUUAAAGAGUCUAGCUCAACUAGAUAAGAGCAGUGGAAACUACAUAGCUAGAGUACGUUCGGGGCAGAGGGAAUUCCUGGUGUAGCGGUGAAAUGCGUAGAGAUCAGGAAGAACACCAGUGGCGGAGGCGCUCUGCUAGGCCGUAACUGACACUGAGGGACGAAAGCUAGGGGAGCGAAUGGG